UACAGGGGGUGCAAACGUUGCUCGGAAUCAUUGGGCGUAAAGCGCACGUAGGCGGUUCGUUAUGUCGGAUGUGAAAGCCCUUGGCUUAACCGAGGAAGUGCAUCCGAAACUGGCGAGCUAGAGUACUAAAGAGGAUCGCGGAAUUCCCGGUGUAGAGGUGAAAUGCGCAGAUAUCAGGAAGAACACCCGUGGCGAAAGCGGCUCUCUGGAACGGUACUGACGCUGAGACGCGAAAGCGUGGGGAGCGAACAGG
rnacentral:rRNA from 1 species